UACAGAGGGUGCAAACGUUGCUCGGAAUUAUUGGGCGUAAAGCGCACGUAGGCGGUUCGUUAAGUUGGAUGUGAAAGCCCUGGGCUCAACUCAGGAAGUGCAUUCAAAACUGGCGAGCUUGAAUAUGGAAGAGGGUCGCGGAAUUCCCGGUGUAGAGGUGAAAUUCGUAGAUAUUAGGAAGAACACCGGUGGCGAAGGCGGCCCACUGGAUCGGCACUGACGCUGAGGUGCGAAAGCGUGGGGAGCAAACAGG
rnacentral:rRNA from 1 species